AUUACCGCGGCUGCUGGCACGGAGUUAGCCGGUGCUUAUUCUUACGGUACCGUCAUUCACCCCCUGUAUUAGAGAGAGCUUUUUCGUUCCGUACAAAAGCAGUUUACAACCCGAAGGCCUUCAUCCUGCACGCGGCAUGGCUGGAUCAGGCUUUCGCCCAUUGUCCAAUAUUCCCCACUGCUGCCUCCCGUAGG
rnacentral:rRNA from 1 species